AGCAAUUUGAAUCAGAGAUAUUUUUUAAAAAUUGAAAAAGUUUACUCUUUUAUAAUCAUUUUAUAUUUAUUAAUGUGUGUAAAAUGAAUAUAAACUUUGUCAUUUUAUGUUACUCUUCCCAAAUCUCAAAGGUAAAAAAUGAUUUNACUUUUGGAUGAUAAAUGAGAAAUUCUGCUGAAACUAAUUUUCCAGCCAGUUUCUCUGCACCGGAAGUCACACCCGUGCUUCUUUUUCCAUCACUGCAACUUCCUUCCUUGGGUGGAAGGCCGGCUGAGUUGUAAUCACCUCACCUAAAGCACUUCUUCCAUUCCAAACAGCCACUGCAUAACACCUUCUCCGCUGUUCGUUUCCAUUACUUCCGCUGCCAGAAAUUCCUUUCUCUUCCAAUGAAUCCGCUCACUACUCUGUUCUGCAUCUAACACCUGGACCGAAGCUAUCAUUUGGUAUUCAGAGCAAGGUUCGACUUGCAUCACGCUCUAGAUAAGUUCUACUGCAUUGAUCCGUUUUGUCAUCAAGUUCCUUGUGUGUGCUUUGUUUGUUUCACUGUUCCAUUGAUUUGUCUUACAUUCCAUAGAUUCCUUUGAGUUAUUUGAUUGAUCCAGCCUUGUUUUGCUUUGGUUUUUCUCAUUUUAAUCGGUUUAUAUUUCUGAUUUGAGUCUUUAUUUUUGAAAUCCUGAUUUUGUCUUGUUAAAAUCAUGUCAAUAUUUUCCAAUUUUGUCUAAAAAUUCCAUGUUUAACCAAGAAUGGAUAAAUCUGCAUAGUUGAUUGGAGGAAUUCAAUAAGAAGCCUAGUGCAUCUUGAAGCUCCUCAGCAAAGCAGUACCAAAGGUUAACAUAGUUUAACUAAUUCAGAGUUGAAUUCUGGUUUGCAUCUGGAAUAAAUUGUAUACGCACCAGUCUUUGAUCUGUUUUGUGCUUUUACUGUCAUAACUGUGUGCGGAUGAUUGUUGGAUAUGAUGCAAUGAGACGAAAUGCAUACCACCAAUUAUGUCUAAGACAUUCCAGUGGAAAGCAUUAUCAAGCAGAUUCCAAAUUCUGCACAUAGCAGUUUGAAUCGUACUCAGUGCUUUGUUGAGAGUAGUUUGCAAUUUUUUUUUAACCGGUCCUGCUUUAGUAAUCAUUUCUGAUCUCCUUCAUAAUUCUAUAGAGUUUUUUUUGUUCAGAUUAGUUGCUGCCUAGAAACAUUAUAUUGUGUUUCAUAUCAAUUUGAGCAUUAGAUAUGCACUCCCAUGUGUGUCUGGAUCGUUUCUUUUAUUGAAUUGAGCAACUGGUAGGGUCCAAAUUUGAAUUGGACAGUGGUAGUCUCUACUAGCCAUUUCAAUUUGAUAUAUUUGCUAAAUCAGACUUGCUCUAAGAGUCAAAAUACUGAUCUAAACACUUUUGAAUCCUGUGGUGAAAUUUGCAUAUUGUUUUGGUUAUGAUUUAGCUUGAAUUGGCAACUCAUAUAGUCAACAUUUGAUUCAUGAAUGAACUGAUCCAUUUGGAUAUUGAUAUAAGUCACAUUUGAUCAUUAAAAGUUGCUAGAAGUUUUCAAUUUGCCAAAUAACCUGGACUGCUAAAUAUAGCCAAUUCAGUUUCGUUGUGUCAGCCACAUUUCUGCUGAAAAAUAAGUUGCAUUGUUAUGUUACUUUUGAUGACUAAUUGUGCAUCCAUUGUGUAUGAAUUUUGGUAGCAAAAUGCNUGGUUUCAAUCAUUAAAAGAAAAGANNNNN
rnacentral:lncRNA from 1 species